GGUCCUCUCUCUCCUCUCAUUUCUCCCACCGGCUCUCUCCUCCCUCUCACCUCCUUUGACUAUCUUGUUCUCCUCUCCAUAGUGCUGAGCUUGCCGCUGGCGAGCCGGUAAAGAACCAUGCAAGAGGAGGCGGCACAGAUCCAUGGUGGCCACGGCUGUCCACAGCAAGGCCAGUACAAGGAGAUUGUCGUGGGCCAUCCAUGGUGAGGCCAGUACAGGGACCUCGUCGUCGGUCAGAUCUGCACCGCCUCCUCUCCGUCAGCCAUCGCCAGAGUACCUGACGGCCAGAUCCACCCCUCGCCUUGUCGGAUCCGUGCAUGGACGGAUUGGCUCCUCAUCGGUUGCCAUGAGGGAAGGCUCCAACGAAUUCAUGCAAGACAGCGUACCAGUCAACCAGAUCCACCCCUCCCUCUGUUGAAUCCGUAUGGGAUGAGGUGGAUGGGGACUGGAUCCAGCGAGAUUUCCUCUAGGGAGGCGAUAAAUAAGACCAAGUAAAAGGAGAAGUCCUGUUCUUGAGGCGAUUGCGGCCAGGAAAGCCAGCGGCGUGCUCGCUGCGUCCUCGGCGAUGAAGUACGUCUCCAGGCCGUACUUCGUCCACUCCUCGACCGCUUCGGCACCCUCGGGGUUGUCGUCGACAAUGAGACGCGCGAGGACUGCACGCUCGUGAAGGUUGACAGCGUGAACCGGGAUGGCAGAUGGUGCAGCUGCUCACCGAUCUCGACCUCGUCAUCUCCAAGUCCUACAUCUCUUCCGACGGCGGCUGGCUCAUGGAUGGCAAGAACUGGGUUUGACUGGGCAUGCUGACUAAGCAUGUUUGGCCGAUGUGGCAUGACACUUUAGCGGAUUUACUGACGUGGCAGGGAGAGGUGGCAUAAUGAUGUGGCUUCAGUGCUAACUGGACUUAUG